GACGAACGCUGGCGGCGUGCUUAACACAUGCAAGUCGAACGGAAAGGCCCUGCUUUUGUGGGGUGCUCGAGUGGCGAACGGGUGAGUAACACGUGAGUAACCUGCCCUUGACUUUGGGAUAACUUCAGGAAACUGGGGCUAAUACCGGAUAGGAGCUCCUGCUGCAUGGUGGGGGUUGGAAAGUUUCGGCGGUUGGGGAUGGACUCGCGGCUUAUCAGCUUGUUGGUGGGGUAGUGGCUUACCAAGGCUUUGACGGGUAGCCGGACUGAGAGGGUGACCGGCCACAUUGGGACUGAGAUACGGCCCAGACUCCUACGGGAGGCAGCAGUGGCGAAUAUUGCACAAUGGGCGGAAGCCUGAUGCAGCAACGCCGCGUGCGGGAUGACGGCCUUCGGGUUGGAAACCGCUUUCGCCUGUGACGAAGCGUGAGUGACGGUAAUGGGUAAAGAAGCACCGGCUAACUACGUG
rnacentral:rRNA from 1 species